GGACAAUGUUUACUGUGAUUAGUGGACAGCGAUGACUGCACAAGUUGGAGAGUGAGUGUUAAAGAUGGGAAGUGUUUUACAUUAUAGGUGAAGAGUUGUCCAUCUCUGCGCAGUGGUCUACAUGCAGCUGUACGCCCGCUCAGUGAGUUGAACAGAGAGGAGUGUAGAGCAGUAAGACAGCGCCACCAAUUCUAGUCCGUGUUGUCAGCGAACCAGAUAUAAUGGGAGAGGAAAGUGCGGCUCCUAACUUCGAAAAUGUUUUAAUAAAAGAAACCCCUGCUGAGACCUCUCCACAAUUCAAAAACGAUGAAGAAACAAGUAAAUUGACCAUAUGUAACAAGUUAUCCUUUGGAAUUGGAGGUGUUCCAUAUGAGAUGGUUAGAAGUAUUUUAGGAUUCUUCCUGCAAAUCUUUCUAC